rnacentral:lncRNA from 1 species
CUGCUCGACCCCGGCCUUCAGCCCCAGGGUCAGUGAGCGGAGAAAGGAACCCCCAAACGACGCGCAAUUAGCGCGAGCUCUCCGGCCCACCCCAGCCUCGCAGGUCCCCCACCGUCGGGGCCCCGCCGACCUGCGCCCAGAGCUAGGAGUGCCCCAGGUCCCCUGACGCCGGUCAUCUCAUUCCCGCCCGGGGUUCCACGCCACGGACCGCCGGCCUCUUUUGGUCCUGCCAGCGCGGCCAGAAGCUGAGUUUGCAGAUAGAGGAUUCUGUCUCCUCCCCAAAAAAGGAAAACGCCUUCACAGACAGCAUUGAGGGCAGUUUGCCUCGACCCUAAAUUGCCAAGCUUCGAGGAGCCAGGAGGCCCGAGAGCCGGGGCUGGAGGAGACACCCGACCCUGCCCCGCCGUUCCCCUCUCCCGCACGCACGGAAAAUACUCCAGUGAGCUGAGAAGGUUCAGAUGCACCCGGCAUUCCCCCAGGCGCCCUCCCGUGCGGGAGGUCCUGGAUACUUCGCCCAAAUCCUGGGGACGGGGGAAGGAUUCCCAGGCCCAUUUCGCAGAUGAGAAAACUAAGGGGUCGUCAUAG